rnacentral:rRNA from 1 species
AACGAACGCUGGCGGCAUGCCUAACACAUGCAAGUCGAACGAGACCUUCGGGUCUAGUGGCGCACGGGCGCGUAACGCGUGGGAACCUGCCUUUAGGUUCGGAAUAACUCAGAGAAAUUUGAGCUAAUACCGGAUGAUGUCUUCGGACCAAAGAUUUAUCGCCUUUAGAUGGGCCCGCGUUGGAUUAGCUAGUUGGUGGGGUAAAGGCCUACCAUGGCGACGAUCCAUAGCUGGUCUGAGAGGAUGAUCAGCCACACUGGGACUGAGACACGGCCCAGACUCCUACGGGAGGCAGCAGUGGGGAAUAUUGGACAAUGGGCGAAAGCCUGAUCCAGCAAUGCCGCGUGAGUGAUGAAGGCCUUAGGGUUGUAAAGCUCUUUUACCCGAGAUGAUAAUGACAGUAUCGGGAGAAUAAGCUCCGGCUAACUCCGUG